AGGAUGAACGCUGGCGGCGUGCUUAACACAUGCAAGUCACGGGGGGCCCAGCAAUGGGUAACCGGCGAACGGGUGCGUAACACGUGAGCAACCUACCGAAAUGAGGGGGAUAGCCGGCCCAACGGCCGGGUAAUACCGCAUACGCUCGGGACCAGGCAUUUGGACUCGAGGAAACCUCCGGGGCAUUUCGAGGGGCUCGCGGCCUAUCAGCUAGUUGGUGAGGUAACGGCUCACCAAGGGCGACGACGGGUAGCUGGUCUGAGAGGAUGGCCAGCCACAUUGGGACUGAGAUACGGCCCAGACUCCUACGGGGAGCAGCAGGUGGGGAAUCUUGCGACAAUCGGCCUAACGGCUGACGCAGCCGACGCCGGCGUGGAGGGUAUGGACGUCUCGUUCGGAGUUACGUUAAACCUUCGUUUUCG
rnacentral:rRNA from 1 species